rnacentral:tRNA from 1 species
GUUAAUGUAGCUUAUCUAAAGCAAAGCACUGAAAAUGCUUAGAUGGAUGCAAGCAUCCCAUAAACA